CAAUAAUCUUCUAUUUGUUAUCUGAUGAAAACCCAAUUUUUCCCAAAUCUCAAAAUCCUAAAAAUUGUCAUCCUCAAUGUUACCAAAUUCUUUAACACAUUCAUCAACUUACUUCAACAUCAAAUAUUCCCCUUACCAUGACCUCGAAAAUCAACCUCUUUCCCCUAUAUAUUACUUUUUUUUCUUCAUCUGUUUCUUUUUCAGUUUUCUGUUUCAACCUUCAUUUUUUCUUUCUUAUUGUUCAUUCUAAAACCAUCACUAAUGAUAUUGUUGAUGGUCGAGUUGAAGACGCAUCACGUUCACCUCAU
rnacentral:lncRNA from 1 species